rnacentral:rRNA from 1 species
GACAGAGGAUGCAAGCGUUAUCCGGAAUGAUUGGGCGUAAAGCGUCUGUAGGUGGCUUUUUAAGUCCGCCGUCAAAUCCCAGGGCUCAACCCUGGACAGGCGGUGGAAACUACCAAGCUGGAGUACGGUAGGGGCAGAGGGAAUUUCCGGUGGAGCGGUGAAAUGCGUAGAGAUCGGAAGGAACGCCGGUGGCGAAAGCGGCGUGCUGGACCUCUUCUGACGCUAAGGCGCGAAAGCUAGGGGAGCAAACGGG